UACGGAGGGUGCAAGCGUUAUUCGGAAUUAUUGGGCGUAAAGGGCGUGUAGGCGGCCAGAUAAGUCAGAGGUGAAAGCCCGGGGCUCAACCCCGGAAGUGCCUUUGAAACUAUCUGGCUUGAGUGCGGGAGAGGAAAGCGGAAUUCCCAGUGUAGAGGUGAAAUUCGUAGAUAUUGGGAGGAACACCGGUGGCGAAGGCGGCUUUCUGGACCGACACUGACGCUGAGGAGCGAAAGCGUGGGGGGCAAACAGG
rnacentral:rRNA from 1 species